rnacentral:miRNA from 1 species
UAUAGAUGAUUGAAAGAAGACAGGGAAGUUAGAGCUUGCGUGAGAAGCUUGUUUAGGUUAGAGCUCAUCACCAUCAGGUUUAGCUCUAACCUAAACAAGCUUCUCACGCAAGCUCUAACUUCCCUGUCUUCUUUCAAUCAUCUGUCG